rnacentral:lncRNA from 1 species
AGGGGAUAUCUCUGCCCCUCCCCCUCUAUAGAUUGCGCCUAAAUACCUCUCGUCUUAGUUUUGCCGAUCGAUCGAUCUGGGCCUGAGCGCCCAGCCGCAGCCGCCUCGCUUAUUUUAUCUUCCUCCCCCCUUCCGUUCUCGGAAUCCGUCCUAGGGGAAAGUCAGUCAGUCAGUCAGUCCGUGUGAUGGUUAAUUUUGCUAUGAAUUGGUCCUCUGGUACCCGUACCCGUACUCUCAGUUGAUGUCUAAGGUCGUGAUGAUGAUGGAUUAUUGGUGAUUUUUGUGUGGUGAUGAUGAGGAGAUUGCAACACAUCUCUGUUUUUUGGUUUCAUCGAUGAAGUAAAAGAUGCCGGUCGUUAUUAUCAUCCUCCAUGAGUGAAUGAAUGAAUUCUCUCUUGUCAGAUCAGAUCUCUGCUCUAGUGGUAGAACUAUUACCUCUGUCUGACAUCCUGUUUGUUAAUUGAUUAUGAUUAUGUUAAAGUAGAGUUUG